rnacentral:rRNA from 1 species
AGCCACACCCAUAUUAUAAUGCAACUCAACUGGUUACUCACUAGCUAAGCAGGUCUAAGCCUGGUCAGUACCUGGAUGAGAGACCACAUGGGAAAACUAGGUUGCUGUUGAAA